AUACAUUAUUCUCAUCCAAGGUAUAUUCAAGUAUACCUCCUCUGGAAAAAACACCAUUGGAAAAAGUUAGAGACCAUAGAAAAUAUCUGUUUUUAAUCAAAAGAAAAAUUAUGAAAAAAUCUAAAAGCAUGGGAGGGAAUAUACAGCUGGCUCAUGUUUUAGUGAAUUAUAUUUAUUUUGGUCAUGGAAAAAGUUGCUUCCUAUUUUCCCAUUAGUCUGUAGUCAACCCCAUCCACAAAAUCUAUUUCUAGAAUUUAAGUUGAAGGCAUAAGUUAAAAGAAAAAAGUAACUAUCUUUCAAUCAAAAAGUAAAUCAGUAAAAGUUGCAAAACUGCUUUAUUUUAAUAUGGACAUUGUGAAGCGCUUUAAAAUACUUUAAAAUUAAUCUUUAGAUUAUAUAGGGUAGUGAGUUUAGUGGUGGCUCCCCAAAAGAUAUGUCCUUGUUCCAAUCCUUAGAACCUGUGAAUGUGACUUUGUUUGGAAAAGGGCCCUUGCAGGUGUAAUGAAAUUAAGGAUCUUGAGAUGAAAGUAUCCUGAAUUACCUAUGUGGACCCCAAACCGAAUGAUGAGUGCCAUUAUAAAAGACAGAGAAAGAAAGGUGAUGUGACAUUGGAGUGGGAGAGCUUAGAGUGAUAUGGUCACAAGCCAAGGAAAGGAAUGCUGAGAGCCCCCAGACAUUGGAAGAGACAAGAAAAGAUUCACCCCAAGAGUCCUGGAGGAGUGUAGCCCUGCCAACACCUUGAUUUUAGUCUUGUGGCCUCUAGAAAUGUGAUUUCUGUGGUAUUGAGCCAGCAACUUUGUUAUAGCAGCCACAGGACACUAAUACACAUAGGGUUCAACCAAUUCAUUGAGCAGCAUAUUACAUGUUAGUUGUGCUGCAAGUCAUUGAGGAAAUCAUUUCUGUCUAUAAGAGCCUUACACAAGUGUAGUGAGUCAGAUAUGGGUGGACCUUUACAGUGCUGUGUGAAAAGAUUUAUUACAAAGUUAUAUAGACACAUAUGAAUAAGGGGAACAUGGAAAGAAUACCAGUGUUUUUCUGAAAAAUGCCAAAGUUAGGUCAGCUGCAGGCAAUGCUUGGCUUGUAAAUGAAAGCAUUUUUUUUAAAUAAGCUAUUUUUAAUACUUCUAUUAACAAUAUUAAAAGGAUGUAAUCAAUAACCUAAAGGUUUGAAUGAGAUGAAUUUUUAAGCUAGAGUAUACUUCAUGAAGGGAACGUUUCAGUCUGUUCUUUAAAUACUAAGAGAAACAAAGUAUAACAUUCAACAUGCUAUGACUCUUCCUGGGCUUUUUAACACCUCUGUCAACCUAAGCUGUCAGAUUUUCUUUCAUGAAAAUAUAUCUCUAAUUUUACAAUGGAAUCCACUGAAUAGAUACUUGUCAUUCUGAUAUUUAUCACUACUAUAAAAAAUGACAGAGUAUUUUAAGCUUUAUGGAGGCAUAAUUUACAUGCUGUAAAAUUUGGUUAUUUUAAGUGUGCAACAUAAUGCUUUGUAAUAAAUUUAACGAGUUGUGCAAACAUUACUACAAUCCAGUUUUAGAACAUUUCCACCACCCCCAAAGACCCCUUGUGAUUAUUUGCAAUCAAUUCUUACCCCCAGUCACAAUUUCAGACAACUCCUCUCUUUUCUGUCUCCAUCAUCUAGCCGUUUCUACACAUUUCAUGUAAAUCUGAUAAUUAAAUAUUCUUUUGUAUCAGAUUUCUUUAACUUAGCAGAAUGUUUUUGAGGUUUAUCCAUGUUACAACAUAUAUCAUUAUUUCACUUGUGUUCUUGCCAAAUAGUAUUUAUAAAUGUUUUCAUUUUGUUUAUAAAUGUUUUGUUGAUCCAGUCACCAAUCACUGGACAUUUGGAUGCUUUUAUUCAGGGCCAUUAUGAAUAAUCCUGCUAUAUACAUUUGCCUACAAAUAUUUGUGUGGACAUAUGUUUUUAGUGUUUGGAAGAGUGGAUAAAUACCUAAGAGGGAAAUUGCUCGGUUAUAUGGUAAGUUUCAUGUUGUCAUUAUUAAAACACUUUUCCAAAUUGACUGUGCCAGUACUCAUUUCCUACCAGUAAUGUGUGAAGUUUCUAGUUAUUCUAUAUCUUCAUGAAUAUUUCUUAUUGUGUAUCUUUUUAAUGAUAGCCUUCCUGGUGGAUGCAAACUGGUAUCUCAUUUUGACUAAUGACUAAUGGUGUUGACUGUGGCCUUUGAAACCAUUUAGGUGGACUUUGGCUCUUCAGUCCUGUCUUUGGUCUUCUAAGACUCAUGUAUUUUUCUUUUCUUUUCUUUUUUUUUUUUUCUUUAAUCAAGAAGCACAUAGAACACACAGUAGGAAGAGCAGAAGGUUAUAAGGAGAGCUGAGUACAAAAAUGAAAUAAAGAAGAUGGUGAGGGAAAGUUAUGAGAAUAAAGUAGAUGCAUGAUUAUGGGAAAGAGAGGAGAAGGAAGAGCUUAUUAAAAAAAAAUUGCAUUGGGAGAAGGAGGGUGGGGUUAUGGACAUUGGGGAAGGUAUGUGCUUUGGUGAGUGCUGUGAAGUGUGUAAACCUGGCGAUUCACAGACCUGUACCCCUGGGGAUAAAAAUAUAUGUUUAUAAAAAAUAAAAAUUU